AUUGAACGCUGGCGGCAGGCUUAACACAUGCAAGUCGAACGAGAUCUUCGGAUCUAGUGGCAGACGGGUGAGGAACACGUGGGAACAUCCCUUUCAGUUCGGAAUAACGUUGGGAAACUAACGCUAAUACCGGAUACGUCCUUCGGGAGAAAGAUUUAUCGCUGAAAGAUUGGCCCGCGUCUGAUUAGCUAGUUGGUGAGGUAAUGGCUCACCAAGGCUACGAUCAGUAGCUGAUCUGAGAGGAUGAUCAGCCACAUUGGGACUGAGACACGGCCCAAACUCCUACGGGAGGCAGCAGUGGGGAAUAUUGGACAAUGGGCGCAAGCCUGAUCCAGCCAUGCCGCGUGAGUGAUGACGGCCUUCGGGUUGUAAAGCUCUUUUGUCCGGGAAGAUAAUGACUGUACCGGAAGAAUAAGCCCCGGCAAACUUCGUGCCAGCAGCCGCCGUAAAAC
rnacentral:rRNA from 1 species